GAUGGACGCUGGCGGCGUGCCUAAUACAUGCAAGUCGAGCGAACGGACGAGAAGCUUGCUUCUCUGAUGUUAGCGGCGGACGGGUGAGUAACACGUGGAUAACCUACCUAUAAGACUGGGAUAACUUCGGGAAACCGGAGCUAAUACCGGAUAAUAUUUUGAACCGCAUGGUUCAAAAGUGAAAGACGGUCUUGCUGUCACUUAUAGAUGGAUCCGCGCUGCAUUAGCUAGUUGGUAAGGUAACGGCUUACCAAGGCAACGUUGCAUAGCCGACCUGAGAGGGUGAUCGGCCACACUGGAACUGAGACACGGUCCAGACUCCUACGGGAGGCAGCAGUAGGGAAUCUUCCGCAAUGGGCGAAAGCCUGACGGAGCAACGCCGCGUGAGUGAUGAAGGUCUUCGGAUCGUAAAACUCUGUUAUUAGGGAAGAACAUAUGUGUAAGUAACUGUGCACAUCUUGACGGUACCUAAUCAGAAAGCCACGGCUAACUACGUG
rnacentral:rRNA from 1 species